CCCUCAGGGCUCCGGGCGGCCGUGACCCUGCUGGAGUGCGGGGGGGACCUCCAGUGCCCCGGGGGGUCCCUGACUCUGCUCUACCGCACCUCCGGGUUCACUUUCGGAAGCUCCUACAUGAGCUGGGUUCGGCAGAGUCACGGGAAGGCGCUGGAAUGGCUCGCAGAGAUCAGCAGCAAUGGUGGCAGCACCUACUACGCGCCGUCGGUCAAGGGCCGGUUCUCGAUCUCCAGGGACAAUGGGCAGAGCUCGGUGACACUGACCAUGAACAGCCUCAAGGACGAGGAUUCCGCCAUUUAUUUCUGUGCCAAAUCUGCUGGUACUGGUGCUGGUCUUUGCCGGAUCCAUAACAAGGCAUAA